GCGUGGUAAGCUCAUUGGAGUGUUAAUUUUUUGAAUUAAAGGGUUUAAACAUGUC
rnacentral:tRNA from 1 species